AAGCCCACCGACCUGCAUUCUUAACCUAAAUGCCAAACCAACCCACAGCUCAAAUGAAAUCAAAUCCCUAACCCUCUGCCCCAAAUGGCCAAACCAGAUGCGAAGAAAUAGCGAAGCAGUGGAGAAAAAAAUGAGCCAGAAUCAAAGGCAAGAAGCAAUGGGAAAGAACAAGAAGGGCGAUAAUCAAUGGCAACAAGGAUGAAGAUGAUAGAUUUGGACUUUCUUGAGUGUUGUCCAUGGCUUACAGUGAGAGGGGAGAAGGCGAGAAAAGAAGAAGAAUAAUGGGUAAAUCUGUCUUUUAGAAAUUAAAUACAACCAGCCAUUCAUAAAACGCUGCCUCACCCAGCGUUUC